AUUGAACGCUGGCGGCAUGCUUUACACAUGCAAGUCGAACGGUAACAGGCCUUCGGGUGCUGACGAGUGGCUAACGGGUGAGUAAUGCAUCGGAACGUACCCAGAGCUGGGGGUUAACGUAGCGAAAGCUGUGUUAAUACCGCAUGUGAUCUGAGGAUGAACGCGGGGGACCGAGCAGCAAUGUUUGGCCUCGCGCGUUUGGACCGGCCGAUGUCGGAUUAGCUAGUUGGUGGGGGAAAGGCCUACCAAGGCGGCGAUCCGUAGCUGGUGUGAGAGGACGGUCGGCCACACUGGGAGUUAGGCGCGGCCAAGACUCCUGCGGGAAGCAGCAGUGGGGAAUGUUAGGCAAUGGGGGCGAGCAUGAUCCAGCAGUGCGGCGUGCGGGAAGAAGGCCUUCGGGUUGGGAACCGCUUUUGGCAGGAGCGAAACGGUGUCCGCUAAUACCGGGCGCUAAUGACGGUACCUGCAGAAGAAGCACCGGCUAACUACGUG
rnacentral:rRNA from 1 species